GACGAGCAUUCAGCGUGAUCCUAUAGACAUAUAAUGAGACCAUAGUUGCACUGAUCAAAGUAGUCAGAAGACUAACAAAUGAUGGUCUCUGAAACAGCAAGCGCAACUCUCUAAGAAAUAGAAUACUUGCAAUCACUGCCUGGCCCUUCAGGGCAAGUGGAAGUGAUUGUCCUCUUUUGUAUGCCUGCAAGCUUAAAAUAC
rnacentral:misc_RNA from 1 species